rnacentral:tRNA from 1 species
ACCCUGGUGGCAUAGUGGUUAAGAGUUUGGCUGCUAACCAAAAAAUCAGUGGUUCAAAUCCACCAGGUG